rnacentral:rRNA from 1 species
UAGGGAAUAUUGGGCAAUGGUCGGAAGACUGACCCAGCCAUGCCGCGUGCAGGAAGAAGGCGUUAUGCGUUGUAAACUGCUUUUAUACGGGAAGAAAAAGCGACUGCGGUUGAAAUUGCCGGUACCGUAUGAAUAAGCACCGGCUAACUCCGUGCCAGCAGCCGCGGUAAUACGGAGGGUGCGAGCGUUGUCCGGAUUUAUUGGGUUUAAAGGGUGCGUAGGCGGCCUUAUAAGUCAGCGGUGAAAUACCCAGGCUCAACCUGGGGGGUGCCGUUGAUACUGUUUGGCUUGAGUACGUUCCGUGUACAUGGAAUUUAUGGUGUAGCGGUGAAAUGCAUAGAUACCAUAAGGAACACCGAUAGCGAAGGCAUUGUACAGGGGCGUAACUGACGCUGAGGCA